AGAAGAGCAGAUGGGGGGGUCCUGGCUCACUGCCCCCCAGAAUGGACCCAGCCGAGGGUCCGCUUCGCUGUAUCUACAAAGCUCUGUUUAAGACCCAUGUUC